UAGAGUUUGAUCAUGGCUCAGGAUGAACGCUAGCGGGAGGCUUAAUACAUGCAAGUCGAGCGAGAAGGUGGCUUCGGUCACUGGGGAGCGGCGCACGGGUGAGUAACGCGUACAUGACCUACCUUUAAGACUGGGAUAGCCCUGGGAAACUGGGAUUAAUACCGGAUGUGGUAAUAGUUAUACAAGAUCAUUCC
rnacentral:rRNA from 1 species